GACGAACGCUGGCGGCGUGCCUAAUACAUGCAAGUCGAACGCAGUGGGGACGGGUGAGUAACACGUGGAUAACAUCCCAUCAGAGGGGAUAACCCUUGGAAACAGGUGCUAAACCGAUACUGAUGGAUGGACCCGCUGUGCAUGAGCUAGUUGGUGAGGUAACGGCUCACCAAGGCCACGAUGCAUAGCCGACCUGAGAGGGUGAUCGGCCACACUGGGAGUGAGAAACGGCCCAGACUCCGACGGGAGGCAGCAGUGGGGAAUAUUCGGCAAUGGAGGAGAGUCUGAAGGAGCGACGCCGCGUGAGUGAAGAAGGUUUUCGGAUCGUAAAACUCUGUUGUUAGAGAAGCGGUAUCUAAACAGAAAGCCACGGCUAACUACGUGCCAGCAGCGGCGGUAAUAC
rnacentral:rRNA from 1 species